CGCGGUGAGCGGCAGAUGAGGGAUCCGCGCGGGGCUGAGCGGAGCGGACUCAAACCGGCGACCGAAGGACAAGUCCGGGGACAAGUUUUGAGGACGGCGGCACGGAUCGAGACUACGAGAGCUGAACGCCAUCCUCCGCGCUGCGAUGGAACACAGGACGGGCGAGAGGAGGAAUCUCCGCAGGCCUCCUUUUUAAUGACAACAGCGUUAGUAGAAAACCAAGACGUCCAUCGUGGUGAAAUUCAUGUAAAUGGUGUUGCGGAGGCAGCCGCACGCUGCACCGCCAAGUGUGAAGCAACAGAUGGAGGCGUGGCCUCAAUGUUUCCAACGCUACUGCCGCUGGUGA
rnacentral:lncRNA from 1 species